GGAAGAAAACCUUGCAGGACUUUGCUUUGUGCAGAUUUCAAUUAGUGGAUUUAGCAUUUCUCUACCAGCAUAUUCUCAUUUUAUUACUUAAUCAAUAGGAUGCCCUGUUUUGUAGCUCCUGUCUUCGAGUUGCGACAUUUUCCCUUUCGGGUA